UUCGCCUGUUUAUCAAAAACAUGUCUGUACGGGUUAAUAAUUGUAAAGUCUAGCCUGCCCACUGAGUAUUUAAAGGGCCGCGGUAACUUGACCGUGCGAAGGUAGCAUAAUCAGUAGUCCUUUAAUUGGGGGCUUGAAUGAAUGGCUGGUUGAGAGAGAGACUGUCUCCUUGUUAGCGAAAGAAUUUAACUUUUAAGUGAAAAGGCUUAAAUUGGUUGGGGGGACGAUAAGACCCUAUAAAACUUAAUAUCAGCUGCGUUUAGUUUACAGAAAAAGUGUAAAGAAGUUUCUCGUAGUUUAUAUUUCGUUGGGGAGAUGUAGAUAAAAUAAAUAACUGUCUUGAAAAUAUAAUAGUAAUAAUUAGUAUGUGAUCCUUUAAUAUGGAUUAAAAGAAUAAGUUACUUUAGGGAUAACAGCGUAAUUUUCUCUGAGAGUUCUUAUCGACGAGAGUAGUUGCGACCUCGAUGUUGAAUUAAAAUUUCAGCUGGGUGUAGCCGUUUAGCUGGUGGGUCUGUUCGACCUUUAAAAUUUUACAUGAUUUGAGUUCAAACCGGUGUGAGCCAGGUUGGGUUUCUAUCUAA
rnacentral:rRNA from 1 species